rnacentral:rRNA from 1 species
UACGAAGGGAGCUAGCGUUGUUCGGAAUCACUGGGCGUAAAGCGCACGUAGGCGGAUUUGUCAGUCAGGGGUGAAAUCCCGGGGCUCAACCUCGGAACUGCCUUUGAUACAGCAAGUCUUGAGUUCGAGAGAGGUGGGUGGAAUUCCUAGUGUAGAGGUGAAAUUCGUAGAUAUUAGGAAGAACACCAGUGGCGAAGGCGGCUCACUGGCCCGGUACUGACGCUGAGGUGCGAAAGCGUGGGGAGCAAACAGG